rnacentral:misc_RNA from 1 species
UCAUUUCUCUUCCGAAAUAUCACUUGACAUUAAUUCCAUUGUCCUGGUAAUUUGUAUGAUUUAAUUAUUCAUUGUUCAGAAAUGCAGGUAUUCCAUCUACCUGUAAUAGAUUGCCUACACCUCGUAAUUCCGAUAAGCCGUGAGCCAGCUAAUAUUAUGGAUUUUUCAUUUGUAAAUAGUCAUUUUAAUUUAUUGUAUAAAUGAGUGGGAUGUUUUUAAAUUUUGGAGAAUUGUGUGUGAAUUGUACAAUUGUGUUACCCGACAUGAAAUGUCACAUGUAUGUAAGGAUUAUUUAUUACGGGUGUGAAAUUUGCCCCUCAUUGCAUCAUUGUUGUAUAUAACUUAUUUUUUUAUGAAUGAUUAAUAAAUGGAAAAAAAUCCUCGUUUAAAAAUAAUAAAAUAAAAUUUGAAUUUU